rnacentral:rRNA from 1 species
CAGCAGUGGGGAAUUUUGCGCAAUGGGCGAAAGCCUGACGCAGCAACGCCGCGUGCGGGAUGAAGGCUCUCGGGUCGUAAACCGCUUUCAGCAGGGAUGAAAUUGACAGUACCUGCAGAAGAAGCCCCGGCUAAAUACGUGCCAGCAGCCGCGGUAAUACGUAUGGGGCAAGCGUUAUCCGGAUUCAUUGGGCGUAAAGAGCGCGUAGGCGGAUUGUUAAGUCAGAUGUGAAAACUGGGGGCUCAACCCGCAGCCUGCAUCUGAAACUGGCAGUCUUGAGUCUGGUAGAGGAGUGUGGAAUUCCCAGUGUAGCGGUGAAAUGCGCAGAUAUUGGGAGGAACACCAGUGGCGAAGGCGGCACUCUGGGCCACGACUGACGCUGAGGCGCGAAAGCUAGGGGAGCAAACAGGAUUAGA